rnacentral:lncRNA from 1 species
AUAGAAUCUUUUGUUCUAAGCUUGAUGCUUAUUUCUUCCAGUGCUCAAGUGGAUUGCUGUGUUAGUAAGAGCUUCACACCAUCCAGGCUGCCAAGUGGAGAGCUUGUGUGAUCCAGUCACUAGGAUGUCUUGAGGAUGAAGUAGGAUUUGUCAUUUUUCUUAAAUCUUCCUGUUAGAAGUUCUGUGUGUGGGAGUGAGGUGCCCCAGUCUGAAGAUGCUCAACCACACUUCUAUGCAUGAGAUACUACUGAAAGAUGAAGUGGCUCUUUGAACAGCACACCAGUAAGGCCUCUUGGUUCAGAGAGUGCAACUGUGAAAGCUGAACCCUCCCAAGCAGAGCAAUGUGGAGCAGAGGAAGCACUGCAAACUCUAAAAGGUAUUUGGCUACACUGUACUACCCACUUUUCCCGAAGCAAUGAGUGCUAUCUUGCUUUCCACAAAAACAGCUCCUCUCCAGGUUCUUGCAUGCUUGCAUUCCCUCAUUCAGGGACACCUGGAUUCUCUCAGUACCUCUCAUUACUUCCCAAUCUUCAUCAGAAGAUUAUGUUAAUUUAGAUUAUGA